UGGGGAAUAUUGGGCAAUGGGCGCAAGCCUGACCCAGCAACGCCGCGUGAAGGAAGAAGGCUUUCGGGUUGUAAACUUCUUUUGUCAGGGACGAGUAGAAGACGGUACCUGACGAAUAAGCCACGGCUAACUACGUGCCAGCAGCCGCGGUAAUACGUAGGUGGCAAGCGUUGUCCGGAUUUACUGGGUGUAAAGGGCGUGUAGCCGGGAGGGCAAGUCAGAUGUGAAAUCCACGGGCUCAACUCGUGAACUGCAUUUGAAACUACUCUUCUUGAGUAUCGGAGAGGCAAUCGGAAUUCCUAGUGUAGCGGUGAAAUGCGUAGAUAUUAGGAGGAACACCAGUGGCGAAGGCGGCCUGCUGGACAUUAACUGACGCUGAGGAGCGAAAGCGUGGGGAGCAAACAGGAUUAGAUACCCUGGUAGUCCACGCCGUAAACGAUGGAUACUAGGUGUGGGAGGUAUUGACCCCUUCCGUGCCGGAGUUAACACAAUAAGUAUCCCACCUGGGGAGUACGACCGCAAGGUUGAAACUCAAAGGAAUUGACGGGGGCCCGCACAAGCAGUGGAGUAUGUGGUUUAAUUCGAAGCAACGCGAAGAACCUUACCAGGUCUUGACAUCCCUUUGACCGCUCUAGAGAUAGAGCUUCUCUUCGGAGCGAAGGUGACAGGUGGUGCAUGGUUGUCGUCAGCUCGUGUCGUGAGAUGUUGGGUUAAGUCCCGCAACGAGCGCAACCCUUACGGUUAGUUGCUACGCAAGAGCACUCUAGCCGGACUGCCGUUGACAAAACGGAGGAAGGUGGGGACGACGUCAAAUCAUCAUGCCCCUUAUGACCUGGGCUACACACGUACUACAAUGGCAGUCAUACAGAGGGAGGCAAAGCCGUGAGGUGGAGCAAAUCCCUAAAAGCUGUCCCAGUUCAGAUUGCAGGCUGCAACUCGCCUGCAUGAAGUCGGAAUUGCUAGUAAUCGCAGAUCAGCAUGCCGCGGUGAAUACGUUCCC
rnacentral:rRNA from 1 species